ensembl:snoRNA
UGCACCAGUGAUCAUGACUGGUGACAUAGGAGUGACAUGCAGUGAAUACUAAAUGUCUGUAACUCUCGGGUCCAC